rnacentral:rRNA from 1 species
GGAUUAGAUACCCUGGUAGUCCACGCCGUAAACGUUGGGCGCUAGAUGUGGGGACCAUUCCACGGUUUCCGUGUCGCAGCUAACGCAUUAAGCGCCCCGCCUGGGGAGUACGGCCGCAAGGCUAAAACUCAAAGGAAUUGACGGGGGCCCGCACAAGCGGCGGAGCAUGCGGAUUAAUUCGAUGCAACGCGAAGAACCUUACCAAGGCUUGACAUAUACCUGAAAAGGCUGGAAACAGUCUCCCCGCAAGGCAGGUAUACAGGUGGUGCAUGGUUGUCGUCAGCUCGUGUCGUGAGAUGUUGGGUUAAGUCCCGCAACGAGCGCAACCCUCGUUCUAUGUCGCCAGCACGUAAUGGUGGGAACUCAUAGGAGACUGCCGGGGUCAACUCGGAGGAAGGUGGGGAUGACGUCAAAUCAUCAUGCCCCUUAUGUCUUGGGCUUCACGCGUGCUACAAUGGCCGGUACAAAGGGCUGCAAUACCGUAAGGUGGAGCGAAUCCCAAAAAGCCGGUCUCAGUUCGGAUUGAGGUCUGCAACUCGACCUCAUGAAGUCGGAGUCGCUAGUAAUCGCAGAUCAGCAACGCUGCGGUGAAUACGUUCCCGGGCCUUGUACACACCGCCCGUCAAGUCAUGAAAGUCGGUAACACCCGAAGCCGGUGGCCCAACCCUUGUGGAGGGAGCCGUCGAAGGUGGGAUCGGUGAUUAGGACUAAGUCGUAACAAGGUAGC